UGAAAAACUGGGAUGCAGCUUCACCCUGGGCAAGCAGGCAGCUCCUAACCACAGGGAUUUUGACUUGAGACCUUGCAAGCUGUGGAUCUUUGCCCACCAGCCUGUAAUACUUUCUUGUCAAGGCUUGAAAUCCUUCAUAGGUCAGCCUGGUCCUGGCUUUUUGUGGGUUUGGAGAGGUUUUCCUCUCCAGACCUGCUCCUGGCUUUUGUGUCUGCAGGUGGCCGUGCUGGGAAAGUCCUGGAUGUUACAGCUUCCACUGCCCUGGGUAGUGCUGGGACUGAAUGUUCUGGGAGUUGGCCUUUGUGCCUGCUGAAGAGGAGGAGUACAAACUGCCACUGGCGCCAUCCCACGUCUUAUUUUUAUUGCAGUGCCCUCCCCGUGCUGCCAGGCUGCCCAUGGGCAUUCCCAGAGGUGUUUGGAUGUGCAGGCAGGGAGAGGACGUGUUCCUCUGCUCUGCAGAGGCUCCUGCUCCUUUGCAGCAGGUUUAAGUGAGGACAUGAUCUGCUCGCUCGCCAUCAGACAGCAGCCCCGAGCUGGACUCAGAUAAAUACACCAGGAGACCUUGAAACACCAUGAAAGGAGAACUUUGCCAGGGCACUAAAACUGCAGAGAUUGGAAGCAUAAAUUGAGGAAGGGAGAGGAGAACACAGCAUCACCCUCAGGCCUGUGUGUGGCUGCAGCCCAGCUGUGUGUCUGACACGGCGGAGCAGAGACCACGGUGUCCUGUGAGCCUGCAGAGCUUCCAGCUUUGCUGUCACCUCACUUCUUCACUUGAAACUCCCAGCACGGCCCACAGCAGCUCCUUCUGGGCAUCCACACCACGGGGACUGCUCAGUGUCCUUCAGGCACUGCAGCUUUCCACCUGUUUUGUUUAAUCCAGGAACAAUUCAUGUAUUGUAAAAGCACCAGAGGAAAAUCCUCUUCUUAGGCCUGGGUGAAAUCUCUCCAGCAAAGGAAUUUGAACAACCAAAACUACCUGUGAAAUUGGAUUGAAUGCUGGAUGAGGAAGAGGAAUCUAGGAACUGGGUCUUUGGAACUGCUGGUUGCUUUAGUGGUGCUUUUUUAUUCAAGUUCACCUUUGAAGUGUCCUUUUUUUUUUUUUUUUUCUUAACUUAGGUCUCUGCAAAAUUUUAUUUUCACUGGAAAAAGAAAUAAAGAAAACUUGAUGCAGUAAAUUUUGACUGUA
rnacentral:lncRNA from 1 species